ACGUGGGUAACCUGCCCAGUAAGAGGGGGAUAACAUACCGGAAACGGGUGCUAAUACCGCAUUAGUUUUUCUUGAUCGCAUGAGUACGGGAAAGGAAAGACGGCCUUUGUGCUGUCGCUUAUGGAUGGACCCGCGGCGUAUUAGUUAGUUGGUGAGGUAACGGCUCACCAAGACGAUGAUGCGUAGCCGACCUGAGAGGUGAUCGGCCACAUUGGGACUGAGACACGGCCCAAACUCCUACGGGAGGCAGCAGUAGGGAAUCUUCCGCAAUGGACGAAAGUCUGACGGAGCAACGCCGCGUGAGUGAAGAAAGGUUUUCGGAUCGUAAAACUCUGUUGUCAGAGAAGAACAAGUUGGAGAGUAACUGCUCCAGCCUUGACGGUAUCUGACCAGAAAGCCACGGCUAACUACGUGCCAGCAGCCGC
rnacentral:rRNA from 1 species